GCCUUCGUGGUGUAAUGGUCAGCACACUGAGCCGGUAUUUCAGAGGUCCGAGGUUCGAUUCCCGGCGAAGGCC
rnacentral:tRNA from 1 species